rnacentral:rRNA from 1 species
UGGGGAAUAUUGGACAAUGGGGGGAACCCUGAUCCAGCCAUGCCGCGUGUGUGAAGAAGGUCUUCGGAUUGUAAAGCACUUUCAGUUGGGAGGAAGGGCAGUAAGCGAAUACCUUGCUGUUUUGACGUUACCGACAGAAUAAGCACCGGCUAACUCUGUGCCAGCAGCCGCGGUAAUACAGAGGGUGCAAGCGUUAAUCGGAAUUACUGGGCGUAAAGCGUGCGUAGGCGGCUAAUUGAGUCGGAUGUGAAAUCCCCGAGCUUAACUUGGGAAUUGCAUUCGAUACUGGUUAGCUAGAGUGUGGGAGAGGAUGGUAGAAUUCCAGGUGUAGCGGUGAAAUGCGUAGAGAUCUGGAGGAAUACCGAUGGCGAAGGCAGCCAUCUGGCCUAACACUGACGCUGAGGUACGAAAGCAUGGGGAGCAAACAGG